rnacentral:rRNA from 1 species
GACGAGCGCUGGCGGCGUGCUUAACACAUGCAAGUCGAACGGAAAGGCCCUGCUUUUGUGGGGUGCUCGAGUGGCGAACGGGUGAGUAACACGUGAGUAACCUGCCCUUGACUUUGGGAUAACUUCAGGAAACUGGGGCUAAUACCGGCUAGGAGCUCCUGCUGCAUGGUGGGGGUUGGAAAGUUUCGGCGGUUGGGGAUGGACUCGCGGCUUAUCAGCUUGUUGGUGGGGUAGUGGCUUACCAAGGCUUUGACGGGUAGCCGGCCUGAGAGGGUGACCGGCCACAUUGGGACUGAGAUACGGCCCAGACUCCUACGGGAGGCAGCAGUGGGGAAUAUUGCACAAUGGGCGGAAGCCUGAUGCAGCAACGCCGCGUGCGGGAUGACGGCCUUCGGGUUGUAAACCGCUUUCGCCUGUGACGAAGCGUGAGUGACGGUAAUGGGUAAAGAAGCACCGGCUAACUACGUG